rnacentral:rRNA from 1 species
GACAGAGGGUGCAAACGUUGUUCGGAAUUACUGGGCGUAAAGCGCGUGUAGGCGGCUAAGUAAGUCGGGCGUGAAAUCCCACGGCUCAACCGUGGAAGUGCACUCGAAACUGCAUAGCUAGAGUCCUGGAGAGGAAGGUGGAAUGCUUGGUGUAGAGGUGAAAUUCGUAGAUAUUCGGAAGAACACCAGUGGCGAAGGCGACUAACUGGACAUGUAUUGACGCUGAGGUGCGAAAGCGAUGGGGAGCAAACAGGG